GAUGAACGCUAGCUACAGGCUUAACACAUGCAAGUCGCGGGGCAGCAUGGGGGUUGCUUGCAAUCCCCGAUGGCGACCGGCGCACGGGUGAGUAACGCGUAUCCAACCUGCCCUUCACCACGGGAUAACCCGGCGAAAGUCGGACUAAUACCGUAUGUUGUCCAUUGACAGCAUCCGAUUUGGACGAAAGGUUUGGCGGUGAAGGAUGGGGAUGCGUCCGAUUAGCUGGACGGCGGGGUGACGGCCCACCGUGGCGACGAUCGGUAGGGGUUCUGAGAGGAAGGUCCCCCACACAGGAACUGAGACACGGUCCAGACUCCUACGGGAGGCAGCAGUGAGGAAUAUUGGUCAAUGGGCGUAAGCCUGAACCAGCCAAGUAGCGUGCAGGAUGACGGCCCUAUGGGUUGUAAACUGCUUUUAUGCGGGGAUAAAGUGGCCCACGUGUGGGUUUUUGCAGGUACCGCAUGAAUAAGGACCGGCUAAUUCCGUG
rnacentral:rRNA from 1 species